rnacentral:lncRNA from 10 species
UGUACACAUGCUUACCGGAGGUGUUCUGCCCUUUCCAGUCGAAUGUUCCUAGAAGGUCAUAAACCAGGAGCCAUAGCUGCAAGCAGCACUUCUCUGAGAACUUGGCACUUAGUGGUAUCAGCAAGGCAAAGCCCUUGGGACCAUUUGGCUCACACCUGCAGCUGUCACACUCUAUCCUCAGCUCUUAGGAAAAGGAGUUUGAAGAGCAUUUCAGCACCUAGCCCUGCCCGUGGGCCCUGUGGACCACGACACAGAAUAUUUCCCUAGGAUAAACACCAAGAAGUGAAAUUGCCUAGUGAAAGAGGUGAAGCAAAUUUUGACAACCUCAUUUGCAUUUCGACUGUUUUCCCUCCCAGACAAGGUGGAAAAGAAAGUAUCAAGACCCCGAAAGGAAGCUGAACCUCUGUGAGGCUGUCCAACAACUUUUCCACAUAGGUGCCUCUGGUUACUAUGCUUGCGUCUCGUAGGAUGUUAACACAGCAUAUCCAGCUGCCAAGGAGAGCUUCUGGUCUUCGUAAGAUAAAAAGUAAAUGACUUUCUCUGAAAAUGCUUCCAUUCUUUUCUUCCUUCCUACAGCACCUACUCCCUCGCUCUUCUUUUUGAGCUUGUCUCUUUCUAAUUGAUUCCAUCAAGGCGUUAGUUACAAAUACACCGUGCAAGUGACAAGACAUUCAACUCUGCUCUACCUUACUUGUCUGCCACUGGUUGUCUUCUGCGUCUACCGUGUCUUCAAUCAGCUGUAUUCCUGCACCCAGGAGGCUUGUGUUGUUUGUAGUGGCCGAGGAUGGCUCGCUGCUGGUUUCUCAAUGAAGGCGGCGUGUUCUACAUGAAUUAAAUAUUUACGUGUUCUACAUGAAUUAAAUAAUUAUCGACAUUGUCGUUGAAACGGCGAUGUUACGUUGUGCCUCUGAGAAGAAGAAUAGAGUGUAUAGAUCUGGAGAAGAGCAAUAUGCCUCCUUUUACAUACAUCAUUAUUUUGGAAGACAGAUCUUCCAUCAACACAAGUUGCAAUUUAACUUGCAGCUCUUCAAAUGAAGCUUUGCAAAGCCAUGAGGUCUUCUGAAUAAAAAUGAGGCUGGAAUUGCUUUGUUUCCCUUAGAUAGUGUUUGUCCACUAAGAAGAAGAAACAAAUCAUUUCCAGAAAAUGCUUCUGUUUGGUCAUUGAUUUCACUAGCCUCUGUCAAGCAGCGACAAAAAUUUGUAUAAGCAGCCUCACUGCUCUCUCAUUCGUCUCUGAGUUAUUUAUGACCAAGGUGUGGAGAACAGUGCAUGAUGGGGCCUAGAAUUAAGAUUACUUAUGAUCCUGAGACAGAUUCCAGUCUCCAGUGCCUUUCUGUAUGACUUUCAUCACCAUGUAAUCCUUAUUAUUCAUAGUAAUAAGAGUGACAGAUAUUACAGAGGGAUUAAAUAAUUCACUGAAGUUCACAUGGUUAAGAAAAGGAAGAACUGAAAGUCCAUAUUCUUUUAUUAUACUCUAUUUUUUUGUUUUUGUUUUUGAGAUGAAGUCUCACUCUGUCACCCAGGCUAGAGUGCAGUGGUGCGAUCUCAGCUCACUGCAACCUCCACCUCCCAGGUUCAAGUGACUCUCCUGCCUUGGCCUCCUGACUAGCUGGGAUUACAGGCAACUGCCACCAUGCCCAACUAAUUUUUGUAUUAUUAGUAGAGAUGCGGUUUCAUCAUGUUGGCCAGGCUGGUCUUGAACUCCUGGUCUCAAGUGAUCCUCCUGCCUCAGCCUCCCAAAGUGCUGAGAUUACCGGCGCGAGACACCGUGCCUAGCCCCAGUUUCUGUAACUUUUAUUAUAGAUUGUUGAAGGGCCUAGAGCCCCCCUACCCUUAAAUUCUUGCACACUUAGCUGGGACAGUAGUGUUCAGAGCUUGGAGAUGGCAGUCCCAUCUCCAAGGAGCUCCUUGGGUCUUCACUGGCAUCUGGGACACUGUUCAGGGUCCUGCUGAGAAUGGACUCUGACAGUGAAAUGGGAAAAGUUCCCUUCUAUCCUCACAGGAUGUGUGACGGAGAAGUGGCUUGCUUCUGUGGUUCUCUGCAGCUCAAACCCCUAGGGAGAGCAUGCAGAUGGGCAGGUGGUGGGGAGCAUGGGCUCCAGUCCCAUGGCAGUGUCUAGGGUUGAGUGUUUACAACUCCUGAAGCCCCAGUGGGUGUGUGUUACAGUGUGUUCUUUUAGCUUAGCCAUCCACAGGUGGCUUGUGUUAAUCAGCUCGGUUAGACCCUCUGCCUUAUUGCAACGACAGUGGGUUUCUGUAUCCCAGGGUUCUUGCCCUAGUGUACCAGAAAAAUCGGAUCACAGGUGGGCUUGGAAGAUGAAUGCAAAGUUUUAUUGAAUGGUGGAAGUAGCUCUCAGCAGAUGGAUGGGGAGCUAGAAGGGGGAUGGAGUGGGAAAGUGGUCUUUCCCUGGAGUUGGUCGCCCAGCAGCUGGGCUCUCCUCUGACUGCCCUUGGCUGAAUUUCCCUCAGUGUCCACGUGGUUCCACUGUUGAUGGCCUGUUGGCAUCUGCAUGUUCUUCUGCUGGUGUGUUCCUCCCCAUGUCCAGCGCUUGUGUGUGUGUCUGCUAGGGAUUCAAGGUUUUUGUUUUGUUUUGUUUUGUUUUGAGACAGAGUCUCACUCUGUUGCCCAGGCUGGAGUGCAGUGGUAUGAUCUUGGCUUACUGCAACCUCCACCUCCUGGGUUCAAGUGAUUCUCCUGCCUCAGCCUCCUGAGUAACUGGAAUUGCAGGCUCAUCCCACCACACCCAGCUGAUUUUUGUACUUUUAGUAGAGAUGGGGUUUCACCAUGUUGGCCAGGCUGGUCUCAAACUCGACCUCAGACCAUCCACCUGCCUCAGCCUCCCAAAGUGCUGGGAUUACAGGUGUGAGCCACCAUGCCUGGCCCUGGUCUGAUUUUUGUCAUUAUAGUUUUGCCUUUUCUAGCCUUUUAUAGAAAUUGAACUAUACAGUAUAUGAUAAUUUCCAUAUUGACUUUGUCUCAUUUAGCAUAAUGUUGAUGACAUAAACUUCUAUUAUUAUGUGGAUCAAUUUUUUCUUUUUUAUUGCUCAGUACUACUGCAUUGCACUAAAAUAUAAUAAUUUAUCUAUUAACAUGUCAGUGGACAUUUAGGUUGUUUCAAAUAUCUGGCUAUCAUCAAUAAAGCUGCUGUGAACAUUUAUAACAAGGUUUUGUGUUAACAUGCAUUUUUAUUUAUUUAGGUCUUUAAUUUCCCUAUGGGAUUACUUGGUCAUGGCAUGUUUUUUUUUUUUUUUUUUUUGAAAUGCAGUCUCACUCUGUCACCCAGGCUAGAGUAUAGUGGCAAAAUCUCAGCUUACUACACCUCUGCCUCCCGGGUUCAAGUGAUUCUCCUGCCUCAGCCUCCUGAGUAGCUGAGACGACAGGUGCCCAUCACCAUGCUUGGCUAAUUUUUGUAUUUUUAUUAGAGAUGGG